rnacentral:lncRNA from 1 species
UUUCCGCCGCGUUUAUGGCCGCGUUAAGUCUGAGUGCCGCUUUGAGUUGUUGAAUGAAGUGAACUUCAUUUGUCAGCGUUCGGUACGCAGUCUAGGCAGCGCCCUUCCUGUACCUCUCUUCCUUUCCUGAGUCGUUGGCGCAGCUGACUCGCCACCUCCUCCCUCCUCGUCCCCCCACCGGAGGAGUUUUGCGGUCUGUAGAGAGCUAUGCAGGGUUCAUGAACUGGAAUGUAAGAGGCACCAGAGGAUUCCUGCUCUGUCCCCUGGUUUGCGGCUUGCGACGUUGGACAUCCCCGGAUUGUUGUUUAAUAGAGAAAACUCACCUGCCUUCUUGCUUUUAAGUAGCCCCAAAAGCAGAACCUUGAUUUGUCUGUAAGGAAGAAACACAAACCUUUUAAAAAGUUCCACUUCGACUCUGCACCGCCGACCCCCAAUCUCUUUAAUUUUGCCAUAGAAGAGGGGUUUUUUCAACAUCUCUCUCACUAUCUGGUGCUGAUCUCACUGCAUAAUGACUUUCUAUUUGUUUGGUAUUCGAAGCUUUCCGAAGCUUUGGAAGAGCCCAUACCUUGGGCUAGGCC